AAUGAACGCUGGCGGCAUGCCUAACACAUGCAAGUCGAACGAAGGCUUCGGCCUUAGUGGCGCACGGGUGCGUAACGCGUGGGAAUCUGCCCUCAGGUUCGGAAUAACAGCGAGAAAUUGCUGCUAAUACCGGAUGAUAUCGCGAGAUCAAAGAUUUAUCGCCUGAGGAUGAGCCCGCGUAGGAUUAGCUAGUUGGUGUGGUAAAGGCGCACCAAGGCGACGAUCCUUAGCUGGUCUGAGAGGAUGAUCAGCCACACUGGGACUGAGACACGGCCCAGAGUCCUACGGGAGGCAGCAGUGGGGAAUAUUGGACAAUGGGCGAAAGCCUGAUCCAGCAAUGCCGCGUGAGUGAUGAAGGCCUUAGGGUUGUAAAGCUCUUUUACCCGGGAUGAUAAUGACAGUACCGGGAGAAUAAGCUCCGGCUGACUCCGUGCCAGCCGCCGUAGUAA
rnacentral:rRNA from 1 species